GACGAACGCUGGCGGCGUGCUUAACACAUGCAAGUCGAACGGAAAGACCCUGCUCUGGUGGUGUUCUCGAGUCGCAAAGGGGUGUAAAACGUGUGAGUCACCUGCUCUUGAUUUUGGGAACUCCUGAGAAAUCUGGGGAUAAUACCGGAUAAGCGCCCCUUCCGCAUGGUGGGGGUUGGAAAGUUUCGGCGGUGGGGGAUGGUCUCGCGGCUUCUCAGCUUUUUGGUGGGGUUGUGGCUUACCAAGGCUUUGACGGGGAGCGGGCCUGAGAGGGGCACCGGCCACAUUGGGACGGAGAUACGGCCCAGACUCCUACGGGAGGCAGCGGUGGGGAUUAUUGCACAAUGGGCGGAAGCCGGAUGAAGCAACGCCGCGUGGGGGAUGACGGCCUUCGGGUUGUAAACCGUUUUCGCCUGUGCGGAAGCGUGAGUGACGGUAAUGGGUAAAGAAGCACCGGCUAACUACGUG
rnacentral:rRNA from 1 species